rnacentral:misc_RNA from 1 species
GAUGAAGAACGUAGCGAAAUGCGAUAAGUAGUGUGAAUUGCAGAAUUCAGUGAAUCAUCGAAUCUUUGAACGCACAUUGCGCCCCAUGGCAUUCCGUGGGGCAUACCUGUUCGAGCGUCAUUUCAACCUUCGGGCGGUCCUUUGGUCCGUCUGGAUUUGGGUGUCGUCUAAUGGCGUGCCUUAAGAAUUGGCGGUGUAGGUGCCGGCUUCGAGCGUAGCAGAUGCGAUUCGCUUUGGAAGCUGGCGUGCUCACCUUGCCAGAAAAGUCUCUGAAGAGCUGACCUCGGAUCAGGUAGGGAUACCCGCUGAACUUAAGCAUAUCAAUAAGCGGAGGA